rnacentral:misc_RNA from 1 species
GCCAAGGGCGUCGUCGGCGGCGCCAAGAGGAAGAGGACCCCGCGCCCCUCCGCCGCCGCCGCCAAGAAGCCCGCGUCGUCGGCGGAGGCGAAGAAGGCGGUUCCCCCCGCCCGCCCAGCCCGCGCCAAGAGGGCGAGGAAGGCCGCCCCCGCGAAGCCGAUGCAGCCGCCCAAAUCCAUCCGCUCCGCCAUCUCCAAGAAGGCCAACAAGGCCAGCGCCUGAUCAUCGCCGCCGUCUCGCCGCCCGUCGCCGCCGCGCGCUGUAUCCCUGUAUAGCCUAGGUGUUGUCGCUUACCUAGUAGUAGUUCGCCAUCGUCGUCUCGUCUGCUUCGAUCGAUCGAGCGCUCUGUGUCCGGUGUGUGUGUUGCGUUGUAGAUAAGGUUUGGGUUUCUUUUUGCAAGGGAG